rfam:Escherichia coli str. K-12 substr. MG1655, complete genome.
AAAAUCGUGCAAAUUCAAUACAUUGCAGAAUUUUCGUAGGCCU